CUGAGAGGMCGACCAGCCACAUUGGGACUGAGACACGGCCAAGACCCHACGGGAGGCAGCAUGGGGGAAUUUKGGACAAUGGGCGAAAGCCUGAUCCAGCAAUGCCGCGUGUGURAAGAAGGCCUWMGGGUUGUAAAGCACUUWUGUCCGGAAAGAAAACUUCUGUCCUAAUACGGCGGGAGGAUGACGGUACCGGAAGAAUAAGCACCGGCUAACUACGUGCCAGCAGCCGCGGUAAUACGUAGGGUGCAAGCGUUAAUCGGAAUUACUGGGCGUAAAGCGUGCGCAGGCGGUUCGCUAAGACAGAUGUGAAAUCCCCGGGCUUAACCUGGGAACUGCAUUUGUGACUGGCGGGCUAGAGUAUGGCAGAGGGGGGUAGAAUUCVACGUGUAGCAGUGAAAUGCGUAGAGAUGUGGAGGAAUACCGAUGGCGAAGGCAGCCCCCUGGGCCAAUACUGACGCUCAUGCACGAAAGCGUGGGGAGCAAACAGGAUUAGAUACCCUGGUAGUCCACGCCGACCUGGCUCUCUGAUAUAUAUCGGUAUUUGUCUCUAAAUCUAUAUGUAUAUGUAUGGCGGUCCUCUCUGCUAUCUCUGAACUCUCUAUGUGACAUCUGAUCACUUAAACCGCUCU
rnacentral:rRNA from 1 species